rnacentral:rRNA from 1 species
UACGAGGGGGGCGAGCGUUGUUCGGAAUUAUUGGGCGUAAAGAGCGUGUAGGCGGCUGGGUAGGUCCGUUGUGAAAACUCGAGGCUCAACCUCGAGACGCCGAUGGAAACCCCCCAGCUAGAGUCCGGAAGAGGAGAGUGGAAUUCCUGGUGUAGCGGUGAAAUGCGCAGAUAUCAGGAAGAACACCCGUGGCUAAGGCGGCUCUCUAGUACGGUACUGACGCUGAGACGCGAAAGCGUGGGGAGCGAACAGG